AUUGAACGCUGGCGGCAGGCCUAACACAUGCAAGUCGAACGAGCGGCGGACGGGUGAGUAAUGUCUGGGAAACUGCCUGAUGGAGGGGGGUAACUACUGGAAACGGUAGCUAAUACCGCAUACCAUCGGAUGUGCCCAGAUGGGAUUAGCUAGUAGGUGGGGUAACGGCUCACCUAGGCGACGAUCCCUAGCUGGUCUGAGAGGAUGACCAGCCACACUGGAAAUGAGUCACGGGCCAGACUCCUACGGGAGGCAGCAGUGGGGAAGAGUGCACAAUGGGCGCAAGCCUGAUGCAGCCAUGCCGCGUGUAUGAAGAAGGCCUUCGGGUUGUAAAGUACUUUCAGCGAGGAGGCGUUACUCGCAGAAGAAGCACCGGCUAACUCCGUGCCAGCCGCCGCGGUAAUAC
rnacentral:rRNA from 1 species